rnacentral:rRNA from 1 species
UACGAAGGGGGCUAGCGUUGCUCGGAAUCACUGGGCGUAAAGCGCACGUAGGCGGACUCUUAAGUCGGUGGUGAAAUCCUGGAGCUCAACUCCAGAACUGCCUUCGAUACUGAGAGUCUCGAGUCCGGAAGAGGCGAGUGGAAUUCCCGGUGUAGCGGUGAAAUGCGCAGAUAUCAGGAGGAACACCAGUGGCGAAGGCGGCACUCUGGGACGGUACUGACGCUGAGACGCGAAAGCGUGGGGAGCGAACAGG